CCCUUAGAUGUUCUGGGCCGCACGCGCGCUACACUGACGCAGUCAGCGAGCAUGUCCUACGCCGACAGGUGCGGGGAAUCUUGUCAAACUUCGUCGUGAUGGGGAUUGAUUAUUGAAAUUCUUGAUCAUCAACGAGGAAUUCCUAGUAAGCGCAAGUCAGCAGCUUGCGUUGAUUACGUCCCUGCCCUUUGUACACACCGCCCGUCGCUACUACCGAUUGAAUGCUCAGGUGAGCCAUUCGGACUUUCAUCAUGCUGGUUUCCAGUUUUGAUGAAGGAAAGUCUUGCGAACCUUAUCAUUUAGAGGAAGGAGAAGUCGUAACA
rnacentral:rRNA from 1 species